CUGCUGUUCACUUUACAAGAAACUGCGCUCUACCUCUCCGACAUUACCACCUGCAAAGAUGAGGCUGUUGCUGGUGAUGCUGCUUGUUGUCGCUGUAGUCGCUGUACACACUGAAGCCGCUCAUCAUGCUCAUGGCGCACAUGCCAUAAAACUCACGUCAACUUCUUGCAACGGUCCUAACGAGAUUUGCCCUACACAUUUUUCAUGCUGCCCAGGUUUGAGGUGUAUUUAUCUACCUAUGAUGGGAAUGCGCCUCCGUAAGUGUGUCACACCUAAACCACUUGCUUGAGCAAGCGGUGUUGCACUUUAACCUUUUGGAAAAUUGUGUGUGAAAAGACGAACACCAUUAAAGCAAGGAGAUUGGCAAUUCAAA
rnacentral:lncRNA from 1 species